rnacentral:misc_RNA from 1 species
UCCGGUUUGUCACCGGCAGUCUCCUAUGAGUCCCCGACAUAACUCGCUGGCAACAUAGGACAAGGGUUGCGCUCGUUACGGGACUUAACCCAACAUCUCACGACACGAGCUGACGGCAGCCAUGCACCACCUGUGCACCGGCCCCGAAGGGCUGCCGUAUUUCUACGGCAUUCCAGUGCAUGUCAAGCCUUGGUAAGGUUCUUCGCGUUGCGUCGAAUUGAACCACAUGCUCCGCUGCUUGUGCGGGCCCCCGUCAAUUCCUUUGAGUUUUAGCCUUGCGGCCGUACUUCCCAGGCGGGGCACUUAAUGCGUUAGCUACGGCACGGAACCCGUUGAUAAGGCCCCACACCUAGUGCCCAACGUUUACGGCGUGGACUAC